CAGUAGCCGCGGGAAUACGUAGGUGGCAAGCGUUGUCCGGAAUUAUUGGGCGUAAAGGGCUCGCAGGCGGUUUCUUAAGUCUGAUGUGAAAGCCCCCGGCUCAACCGGGGAGGGUCAUUGGAAACUGGGAAACUUGAGUGCAGAAGAGGAGAGUGGAAUUCCACGUGUAGCGGUGAAAUGCGUAGAGAUGUGGAGGAACACCAGUGGCGAAGGCGACUCUCUGGUCUGUAACUGACGCUGAGGAGCGAAAGCGUGGGGAGCGAACAGGAUUAGAUACCCGUGUAGUCCCUGUCUCUUAUAC
rnacentral:rRNA from 1 species